CCAUUGGAUCCCAUUGAAUCCCAUUAAAAUCCCAUAUAAAUCCCACUCAGUCCCAUUGAUUCCCAUAUAAAUCCCAUUGAAUCCCAUUGAAUCCCAUAUAAAUCCCAUAUAAAUCCCAUAUAAAUCCCAUCCAAUCCCACUGAAUCCCAUUGAAUCCCAUAUAAAUCCCAUUGAAUCCCAUAUAAAUCCCAUUAAAUCCCCUAUAAAUCCCAUUGAAUCCCAUAUAAAUCCCAUCCAGUCCCAUUGAAUUCCAUAUAAAUCCCAUUAAAUCCCCUAUAAAUCCCAUUAAAUCCCAUUGAAUCCCAUAUAA
rnacentral:lncRNA from 1 species